CGUAUGUUGUGGCCGCGCGUCAAAAUUGAUAGUAAUAUAUAAAUACAAGAAUUUUCGGGAUUUCAGAUCCUAUUUCGUUUUGGCCAACUUUUUCAGGAGAAAAAUACCCUAGAGUUUCCCCAAAUAAUACAAGGUGAGUUCCUACUCGAUUCCAUUGAUUAUUACAUCAAACUAACAAUGAUUAACACCAAUUCUUCUUCCAAAUUCCUAAAUUAUUGAGAAUUCCAACAAAGGGCAAUUAAGGUGGAAUUUUUUGACUCUCUUCAACGGGUAACUGCUCGAGCAUUAGAGAUUUCGUUUGAAUUAAUUUGGCAGGAUUUAAGUACUUGGACAUACUACUAUUGUUUUUGAUGCUAUGUUAGGCAACAAAGUAGAGCAGGUACAGGCAGAUCGAGUGGGCUAGGAGUACUUGUUGCUUUCAAGUUGUUGGUGAACCCACAUCCUUGUUCGUGGGGCUCCUAUGAGUCAUUUACUAAUUCUUAAUAGUUUCACGUUGUGUCCUGAGUAAUAUUUUUUUUCUUAUAAGCUCCAUUAACAAUGGUCAUACUGUGAGAAGUAUUGUGCAAGUCAUUGCUUAACUUGUUUUCAAGAUUUUUGAAUUAUUAAAUUUAACUAAGAUUAAUGUAUUUAGACGUAAUUUUAUUAUGCUUAAUGUUUAAUGAUUUUUCAACUAAAUAAGGGGCAAGUGUCGUAACAUCCAUCUUAUAAGGUGCUUUCGGUGCGGUUCCUUAGCAUCAGAUGCCUAUUGCGCCAACGUCGGAUUUGGGGGGUAACAAGCUUGGUAACAGAGCUCUAGGAUUAGAAGUAACCUUGGAUUGUAUGUGGAGCUGUUUCUACCGAGGUACUCUUGAUGCAGACUGGCCAACUAUAUUGAUGAACGACUCCAGGACAUUAUAGGUGUUUCCUACUCUUAUAUUGUACUGUAGAGCUUGAACUUCUCUUUAAGAUCAUUUUGACAUAUUCGUUA